AUUGAACGCUGGCGGCAGGCCUAACACAUGCAAGUCGAACGAGUGGCGGACGGGUGAGUAAUGUCUGGGAAACUGCCCGAUGGAGGGGGAUAACUACUGGAAACGGUAGCUAAUACCGCAUACCAUCGGAUGUGCCCAGAUGGGAUUAGCUUGUAGGUGAGGUAACGGCUCACCUAGGCGACGAUCCCUAGCUGGUCUGAGAGGAUGACCAGACAAACGGGAACUGAGACGCGGUGCAGACUCGGACGGUGGGAAGAAGUGGGGAAUAUUGAACAAGGGGCGAAAGACUGAUGUAGCGAGGCCGCGUUGAUGAAGAAUGCCUUCGGGGUGUAAAGUAAGUUAAGCGGGGAGGCGUUACCCGCAGAAGAAGCACCGGCUAACUCCGUGCCAGCAGCAGCGGUAAUAC
rnacentral:rRNA from 1 species